rnacentral:rRNA from 1 species
GUGGGUAGUUUGACUGGGGCGGUCUCCUCCCAAAGCGUAACGGAGGAGCACGAAGGUUAGCUAAUCCUGGUCGGACAUCAGGAGGUUAGUGCAAUGGCAUAAGCUAGCUUGACUGCGAGCGUGACGGCGCGAGCAGGUGCGAAAGCAGGUCAUAGUGAUCCGGUGGUUCUGAAUGGAAGGGCCAUCGCUCAACGGAUAAAAGGUACUCCGGGGAUAACAGGCUGAUACCGCCCAAGAGUUCAUAUCGACGGCGGUGUUUGGCACCUCGAUGUCGGCUCAUCACAUCCUGGGGCUGAAGUAGGUCCCAAGGGUAUGGCUGUUCGCCAUUUAAAGUGGUACGCGAGCUGGGUUUAGAACGUCGUGAGACAGUUCGGUCCCUAUCUGCCGUGGGCGCUGGAGAAUUGAGGGGGGCUGCUCCUAGUACGAGAGGACCGGAGUGGACGCAUCACUGGUGU